UGAAUUGACGGGGCCCGCACAAGCGGAGACAUGUGGUUUAAUUCGAUGAUACGCGAGGAACCUUACCUGGGCUUAAAUGUAGAGUGCAUUUUUAGAGAUAGAAAUUCCCUUCGGGGCUUUCUGCAAGGUGCUGCAUGGUUGUCGUCAGCUCGUGCCGUGAGGUGUCGGGUUAAGUCCCAUAACGAGCGCAACCCUUAUCGUUAGUUGCCAGCUGGUAAAGCAGGGGACUCUAGCGAAACUGCCACCGUAAGGUGAGAGGAAGGUGGGGAUGACGUCAAGUCCUCAUGGCCCUUAUGACCAGGGCUACACACGUGCUACAAUGGCCGGUACAAAGGGCAGCGAUACCGCGAGGUGGAGCAAAUCCCAGAAAGCCGGUCUCAGUUCGGAUUGGAGUCUGCAACUCGACUCCAUGAAGUCGGAAUCGCUAGUAAUCGCGGAUCAGCAUGCCGCGGUCGAAUACGUUCCCGGGCCUU
rnacentral:rRNA from 1 species